UGAGAAAUGUACUAUGCGCUACCCGAGACUGUUUAUCAGCUAUUAAACCAAUUCCUAUUUACUGUGCUAAUGCGAAACAUAAAAUAUUCGUAAUCAUGCGAAGCGUCGUGCCGAAUGGGAAACUGCUCAUUGUCAGAUAUACUUCAACCGCAAAGCAAGACGGACUAUCAAUCCGUGGAGUCGUUACUGAAAACCAUUUUCUAUCUCGCCAGUAGAAGCACCCGCGUCAAUGUCAGACAGCUACCGAGUCUCUGAACACCCGGAAGGUGACAUUGAACUGAAGAAGGUGCGAGACUACUCAUCGGGAGACAAACCCAGCGAGCUGAAGUCAGCCGACGAAGAAGUGGACCUGGAACGCGCCAUCGAGUUGACGGGUUUCGGAUGGUACCAUAUCGGGCUGAUCGCGAUAUGUGGUGGAAUCCUGGUCGCCACGGUCUGCGAGACGAUGGGGAUGAGCUUCGUCCAUCCGGCAGCCCAGUGUGACUUGGCCUUGACGACCGUGAAGAAGGGCUAUUUAUCCGGAGCUAUGUUCUUGGGAAUUGUCGUUAGCGCCAACGCUUGGGGAUUCUUUGCUGACACUUUUGGGAGGAAAAAAGUACUCUUGAUCUCCACCAUCGGUACCUGGGCUUUUAGCUUCAUGUCGAGCUUCUCCCCAACCACCAACCUGUUCAUAGUCCUCAGAUUCCUCACUGGUUUGUUCUGCAGUAACCAAUCGACGGUGUACGCCUACAUUACCGAGUUUCUGCCCACCUCAAAACGGGCGAGCAUCAUCACUUGGACCUGCGGCUUCAUGGCAAUUGGCUACCUUCUGAUCCCCGGUCUAGCCUGGUUGUUGAUCCCGUUGGAAGUAAACUGGGACCUGGGUUUCGUGGUAUACACAUCGUGGCGCGUCUACUUGGCAGCCAUAGGCUCACUGUCAUUCGCAACGGGCUUCCUGUUACCCUUCUUUCCGGAAAGUCCAAAGUUCCUCAUGUCGGUUGGCCGGAAACGAGAGGCACUCAAUGUUCUCCGACUGGUCUACAACAGGAAUUCGGGAAACAGCAACGUCGAGUAUCCGGUCAAGAAUCUUAAGUUCGACGUUCAUGACACUCCCGGCCACGUUACGACAGCUCUGUCGUUUACGCUCCAAGGACUCUUUAAGCUCAUGUGGCACCAAACCGCAACGCUUUUUCGGCCGCCGUACGGAUGGACCACCCUACUCUUCUGCCUGAUUCAAUUCGGCAUUUGCGUCACCUCGAUGGGCAUGUACAUCUGGAUACCGAACCUGUUGAACAUGAUCAAGUCAGGGGCUGGAAUCGGGGCGACGAUAUGCGAGUUAGUGUUGGCCAACCAGGCUAAUCUGACCCUGAAUUCCGCGUCGGAGUCCGCGGAUUGCAGCAGCCUGAUCAGGAGUGAGGUCUAUACGAGCACGUUGGUCACUGGGGUCUUCUCCGUGGUGGCGUUCGGGACACUCGGAGGGCUGGUCGCGAUCCUGAGGAAGAAGACAGUGCUAGAGCAAUGGCAGUUUCUUUGGCAUUCACUAUCGGACGUUUGGGUAUCGCUCUUGCUGGAAAUACAAUUGGCAUCCUCAUAGAGUCCUACUGUGAUUUCACUCUGAUUGGAUUGGGAUGCGUGACCUUGCUUUGCAGUCUCCUCUGUAUCCUGCUUCCGGAAUAGACGAAUUACAGAAGGAUCACGGAAGAGUUGAGCGGAAACCGGAUAUCCUGUCAAGCUCUACCCACAUAGAUAUCCACUCGGACGGACGCUCGGUUCAGCAGCUUGAAGCUUGACCGUUGAAAGCCUUCGUUUGGAACGUGAGCAGAUUCCAAAAAAAUAUAUAACCAAUGAUAUUAUCACUUAAAAACAGUAUUUUUCACAGAAUCUCGAAUCUCGUUUCAGCUGUUCAGUUAACAACAAUUUCACGAUAUGCAUUAAUGAUGAAAAAAUCGUAAAAAUCGAAAUCGAAAAAUAAUGACUGAUAUCGAAUUUCAGAUCUAAAAUCAACAUUUUUCAUCAUUCCAAAGCUACA
rnacentral:misc_RNA from 1 species